UGGAAAGCUUGGAGGCGAUUGGACUUAAGCGCUAUUGUACCAUGAGUUCGAAGUCGACAGUGUUCUUGAGAAGAUAAGGCUGCUGCAGUGCACCAGUUAGGAAAGACCUUGGCCAACUUCUGUGUGGAUCAUCAUUGGAGGACUUCUACUUUAGAGUUUCAUAGAGAAUACAAAUAUGCCACUUCUUCCUUUUUGGUGAAAGUAAAAAUUC
rnacentral:lncRNA from 1 species